rnacentral:sRNA from 1 species
AUUUGUUGCGGACAAAUGAAAUGAAUAUGACUAUCAAAUCCACCUGCCGUCAGUAUUUUGCCUUCCCCAGCAAUGAUUUCUGUGCCUGGGCCAAUUAUUAUAUCAAUAUUUGGUUGGGUAUCUGGAUUUCCCGCUUUUCCUAUACACUCAACUCUCCCAUCUCUGAGGGCAACAUCUGCUUUGUAAAUUCCAGUGUAAUCUAAAAUAAGAGCAUUUGUGAUUACUGUGUCAGGUGUUCCCUCAGCUCUUGUUGCCUGAGACUGGCCCAUUCCAUCAC